CAAACACUAACUUGUAUCGUCUGAUGAAUAAUUUAAACCAGACGACUUACAUGUAAGUCGUCCAAAUACUCCCACCUAAUUUUUUUUUUAAAAAUUAUUUUUCCGCUUAAAUAUUUUAAACCAGUAGCCGUCUAGGAAGUCUUGUAUUUUAGUUUUCCGCUAAAAAUAUUAAAGUCUUCUCGGCGACUUACAAGUAAGUGUGGGAACCGAAAUU
rnacentral:lncRNA from 1 species